CAUAUAAAAAAGACAACUCUGUUCCGCAGAGUAGCUGUUGACAUUAUAGUUGCGCAGGAACUUUGUUGACUCUAGAGAAUCUCGGGCAAAUCGCACAUCCCCGUGGUGGCUACUUUGCAUGCGAAUGUCAUCCAUAUCAACUUUCGAUGCCAGUUUCUGUGUCUACCAUGGUGACCAUGGGUAACGGGGAAAUCAGGGUUCCCUUCUGUACAGGGACCUUGAGAAACGGCUACCACAUGCAAGGAAGGCAG
rnacentral:rRNA from 1 species